CCUACGGGUGGCAGCAGUGGGGAAUAUUGCACAAUGGGGGGAACCCUGAUGCAGCGACGCCGCGUGAGUGAAGAAGUAUUUCGGUAUGUAAAGCUCUAUCAGCAGGGAAGAAAAUGACGGUACCUGACUAAGAAGCCCCGGCGAACUACGUGCCAGCAGCCGCUGUAAUACGUAGGGGGCAAGCGUUAUCCGGAUUUACUGGGUGUAAAGGGAGCGUAGGCGGGUAUGCAAGUCUGACGUGAAAGACGAGGGCUCAAACAUCGGAGUGCUUUGGAAACUGUAGAACUGGAGUGCAGGAGAGGUAAGCGGAAUUCGUAGUGUAGCGGUGAAAUGCGUAGAUAUUAGGAGGAACACCAGUGGCGAAGGCGGCUUACUGGACUGUAACUGACGUUGAGGCUCGAAGGCGUGGGGAGCGAACAGGAUUAGAUACCCCUGUAGUC
rnacentral:rRNA from 1 species